CGAAGUGCUGACACCUGUUGAUCGUUGCAGUUCCUGUCUGGGGGAACUUUUAAAAAGCAGGGCUGGGAAGUUGCAGGGGUGGUGGCAGCAGCUUCACGCUACUUUAAAAUAGGUGCGUUUGAUCAGCCUUCCCCCGCAUUCAUUUGAAAGGACGCUGCCACAGAUGGGGUUUCCUCUCGCCCCGGUCCUGUGACAAAAAGACCAAAAGGGCAACGACAAAAGGGACGGGACCCUCAAGAGCCUGAGCAACCGGUACAUCGCAUGCGCACGUCCUCUCUGGCAGUAGGAGGAAGCAUCGACAGCACAGAGCUGUCAAAAGCAAAUUCCCUCCUGCACAAAAUCAGCCCUCAUCGUACCUUAACCAAUCAGAUGAAGUGCCGUGGGAGAGGUGUCAGCGGAGUCCGCGCGACGAACUACACUACACGCUCUCCGUGGGAGAAAUUCAUAAAAAAACUUUUUGACAGCGUCGUUCUCAAAACCUUUUUUUCUUUGUAGUUUUUUUUGUUUGUUUUACG